rnacentral:rRNA from 1 species
ACGAACGCUGGCGGCGUGCCUAAUACAUGCAAGUAGAACGCUGAAGAGAGGAGCUUGCUCUUCUUGGAUGAGUUGCGAACGGGUGAGUAACGCGUAGGUAACCUGCCUUGUAGCGGGGGAUAACUAUUGGAAACGAUAGCUAAUACCGCAUAACAAUGGAUGACCCAUGUCAUUUAUUUGAAAGGGGCAAAUGCUCCACUACAAGAUGGACCUGCGUUGUAUUAGCUAGUAGGUGAGGUAACGGCUCACCUAGGCGACGAUACAUAGCCGACCUGAGAGGGUGAUCGGCCACACUGGGACUGAGACACGGCCCAGACUCCUACGGGAGGCAGCAGUAGGGAAUCUUCGGCAAUGGGGGCAACCCUGACCGAGCAACGCCGCGUGAGUGAAGAAGGUUUUCGGAUCGUAAAGCUCUGUUGUAAGUCAAGAACGAGUGUGAGAGUGGAAAGUUCACACUGUGACGGUAGCUUACCAGAAAGGGACGGCUAACUACGUGCCAGCAGCCGCGGUAAUACGUAGGUCCCGAGCGUUGUCCGGAUUUAUUGGGCGUAAAGCGAGCGCAGGCGGUUUGAUAAGUCUGAAGUUAAAGGCUGUGGCUCAACCAUAGUUCGCUUUGGAAACUGUCAAACUUGAGUGCAGAAGGGGAGAGUGGAAUUCCAUGUGUAGCGGUGAAAUGCGUAGAUAUAUGGAGGAACACCGGUGGCGAAAGCGGCUCUCUGGUCUGUAACUGACGCUGAGGCUCGAAAGCGUGGGGAGCGAACAGGAUUAGAUACCCUGGUAGUCCACGCCGUAAACGAUGAGUGCUAGGUGUUGGAUCCUUUCCGGGAUUCAGUGCCGCAGCUAACGCAUUAAGCACUCCGCCUGGGGAGUACGACCGCAAGGUUGAAACUCAAAGGAAUUGACGGGGGCCCGCACAAGCGGUGGAGCAUGUGGUUUAAUUCGAAGCAACGCGAAGAACCUUACCAGGUCUUGACAUCCACUUAAACUUACAGAGAUGUAAGGUGUGCUUGCACAAAGUGAGACAGGUGGUGCAUGGUUGUCGUCAGCUCGUGUCGUGAGAUGUUGGGUUAAGUCCCGCAACGAGCGCAACCCCUAUUGUUAGUUGCCAUCAUUCAGUUGGGCACUCUAGCGAGACUGCCGGUAAUAAACCGGAGGAAGGUGGGGAUGACGUCAAAUCAUCAUGCCCCUUAUGACCUGGGCUACACACGUGCUACAAUGGUUGGUACAACGAGUUGCGAGUCGGUGACGGCAAGCUAAUCUCUUAAAGCCAAUCUCAGUUCGGAUUGUAGGCUGCAACUCGCCUACAUGAAGUCGGAAUCGCUAGUAAUCGCGGAUCAGCACGCCGCGGUGAAUACGUUCCCGGGCCUUGUACACACCGCCCGUCACACCACGAGAGUUUGUAACACCCGAAGUCGGUGAGGUAACCUUUUGGAGCCAGCCGCCUAAGGUGGGAUAGAUGAUUGGGGUG